rnacentral:lncRNA from 1 species
UUUAUUUUACAUCAUCUGAAAAGGCUUUUUACUCACAAUUCUCACAAUUUUACAAAGCCUGCUGCAGCCGUUACAUCUCUCAAGGUCAAAGCCACCUCUCAAAAUCUCCAUCCAUGGCUUCAGCCGUUACAUCUCCCAAAAUUUCCAUUCAUGGCUUCAGCCGUUACAUCUCUCAAAGUCUCAAUUUCUCUCAAGUUUCCAGUCUCAAUCUUUCCACAAAUCUCAAACAAUUCGCUGUGUAAUUGAGAGAUUUAGUCUCUCUCGCUUCUUCUCAAAUAAUCGGCGUCGAAUCUUCCCAUAAAUCUCAAACAAUUGGCAAGUCAGCAACGCUAGGGCAGAAGAGAAACGACGGCCUCAAGGCGGCGACUCUCCUCCUCCGUCCUAUCUACUUCCCUAUUGUUCGAACCCACCGGCAAGGCAGCAACGCUAGGCCAGAAGAGAAACGACGGCAUAGUCAUUGUGUUUGCCGGAGUCUCCGACGCCGCCCUCGCUUACA